rnacentral:rRNA from 1 species
GACGAACGCUGGCGGCGUGCCUAAUACAUGCAAGUAGAACGCUGAAGGAGGAGCUUGCUUUUCUGGAUGAGUUGCGAACGGGUGAGUAACGCGUAGGUAACCUGCCUGGUAGCGGGGGAUAACUAUUGGAAACGAUAGCUAAUACCGCAUAAGAGUAGAUGUCGCAUGACAUUUGCUUAAAAGGUGCAAUUGCAUCACUACCAGAUGGACCUGCGUUGUAUUAGCUAGUUGGUGAGGUAACGGCUCACCAAGGCAACGAUACAUAGCCGACCUGAGAGGGUGAUCGGCCACACUGGGACUGAGACACGGCCCAGACUCCUACGGGAGGCAGCAGUAGGGAAUCUUCGGCAAUGGACGGAAGUCUGACCGAGCAACGCCGCGUGAGUGAAGAAGGUUUUCGGAUCGUAAAGCUCUGUUGUAAGAGAAGAACGAGUGUGAGAGUGGAAAGUUCACACUGUGACGGUAUCUUACCAGAAAGGGACGGCUAACUACGUGCCAGCAGCCGCGGUAAUACGUAGGUCCCGAGCGUUGUCCGGAUUUAUUGGGCGUAAAGCGAGCGCAGGCGGUUAGAUAAGUCUGAAGUUAAAGGCUGUGGCUUAACCAUAGUACGCUUUGGAAACUAUUUAACUUGAGUGCAAGGGGGGAGAGUGGAAUUCCAUGUGUAGCGGUGAAAUGCGUAGAUAUAUGGAGGAACACCGGUGGCGAAAGCGGCUCUCUGGCUUGUAACUGACGCUGAGGCUCGAAAGCGUGGGGAGCAAACAGG